GGAAUUAUAAACCUUAUGUAAAAUGUUCAUGGUGGUUGGGAAGUAUUCCAGUUGGGUGAGCAUCCCUCAUAUGAUUGUGUAUAUCACUAAUAGUUCUCACUCUUCUUCAUUUUCUAACUCCUUUUCUUCUUUGAAUAUAUUGGUAUCUUUAAACUUUUUAUCCCUAGUCGUUGCUUUAUCUCCAGGUGCAAACCUUCUUGGAUGCAUUCUUCACUAUUGUGUUUGUUCCUUCUAUGGAAACAUAAGCACCUUUACUUAUCCACCCUUGUGAAAUCUUGGAUCUUCU
rnacentral:lncRNA from 1 species